UACGGAGGAUCCGAGCGUUAUCCGGAUUUAUUGGGUUUAAAGGGUGCGUAGGCGGUCGGAUAAGUUAGAGGUGAAAUCCCGAGGCUCAACUUCGGAAUUGCCUCUGAUACUGUUCGGCUAGAGAGUAGUUGCGGUAGGCGGAAUAAGUUAAGUAGCGGUGAAAUGCUUAGAUAUAACUUAGAACCCCGAUAGCGAAGGCAGCUUACCAGACUGUUACUGACGCUGAAGCACGAGAGCGUGGGUAGCGAACAGG
rnacentral:rRNA from 1 species